UACGGAGGGUGCAAGCGUUGCUCGGAAUCACUGGGCGUAAAGCGACCGCAGGCGGCCUGACAAGUCGGAUGUGAAAGCCCUGGGCUCAACUCAGGAAUUGCAUUCGAAACUGGCAGGCUCGAGUACGGGAGAGGGGGGUGGAAUUCCUGGUGUAGGGGGGAAAUUCGUUGAUAUCAGGAGGAACACCGGCGGCGAAGGCGGCCCCCUGGCCCGCAACUGACGCUCAUGGUCGAAAGCGUGGGGAGCAAACAGG
rnacentral:rRNA from 1 species